CAGGGCUCCCUGUGACCCAGUGACCGGGCAGUGUGUGUGCAAGGAGCAAGUGCAGGGAGAGCGCUGUGACCUAUGCAAGCCGGGCUUCACUGGACUCACCUAUGCCAACCCGCAGGGCUGCCACCGCUGUGACUGCAACAUCCUGGGGUCCCGGAGGGACAUGCCGUGUGACGAGGAGAGUGGGCGCUGCCUUUGUCUGCCCAACGUGGUGGGUCCCAAAUGUGACCAGUGUGCUCCCUACCACUGGAAGCUGGCCAGUGGCCAGGGCUGUGAACCGUGUGCCUGCGACCCGCACAACUCCCUCAGCCCACAGUGCAACCAGUUCACAGGGCAGUGCCCCUGUCGGGAAGGCUUUGGUGGCCUGAUGUGCAGCGCUGCAGCCAUCCGCCAGUGUCCAAACCGGACCUACGGAGAUGCGGCCACAGGAUGCC
rnacentral:lncRNA from 1 species